UGUCAUGACGCAGGAUUGGAUU
rnacentral:miRNA from 1 species